AGUCACCAAAGAUCUCACCGUUAAAGGAGUGGAUGUCGUCAUCGGAUUCUGAUGGACAAUGGAAGAGAAGAGAUACUCACGUGCUCUGACUGACGAAGGCAGUGUCUCAAGUGCCUUCUUCACCACCUUGUCUCCAGGUAAUGCAUAUCUGCGAUAAGAAGUUUCGAAGUGAGACAAACUCUGCACAGAAACUCAAAAAGCCAAUAAAAGCCUAUAUCUCGCCUCACGUCUCCGAGAGUUAUAUCGAUGGUGCAUCACAGUCUAUCAACAGUUCUCCCUCCAUGUCUUCUGAAAUGGAAGCCAUCCAAACCAGUUUUUUUCAGAGAUAAAAAUGUAUUUUAAGGCUUAAUAAUAUGGUCAUUGUCUCUGAAAUGGAGAAAACGCACAGCAAUACGUCUGUUUUUACCUUGAUCUAAAAAUUUUAAAGUGCCAAUUCUGUGAGCCAUUUUGAUAUCUGAAGGCUGUAAACAAACCUCCGGAAAUAAAGACUGAAACAUUUU